rnacentral:rRNA from 1 species
GACGAACUCUGGCGGCGUGCCUAAUACAUGCAAGUCGAGCGGACCGGAUUGGGGCUUGCCUUGAUUCGGUCAGCGGCGGACGGGUGAGUAACACGUGGGCAACCUGCCCGCAAGACCGGGAUAACUCCGGGAAACCGGAGCUAAUACCGGAUAACACCGAAGACCGCAUGGUCUUCGGUUGAAAGGCGGCCUUUGGGCUGUCACUUGCGGAUGGGCCCGCGGCGCAUUAGCUAGUUGGUGAGGUAACGGCGCACCAAGGCGACGAUGCGUAGCCGGGCUGAGAGGGGGACCGGCCACACUGGGACUGAGACACGGCCCAGACACCUACGGGAGGCAGCAGUAGGGGAUCUUCCGCAAUGGGCGAAAGCCUGACGGAGCGACGCCGCGUGAGCGAAGAAGGCCUUCGGGUCGUAAAGCUCUGUUGUGAGGGACGAAGGAGCGCCGCUCGAAGAGGGCGGCGCGGUGACGGUACCUCACGAGAAAGCCCCGGCUAACUACGUGCCAGCAGCCGCGGUAA